rnacentral:rRNA from 1 species
AUGGUGUCUGCCGUGCUGCCCCCGCCGGUGCGCGCUGACAUCUGCAUUGUGCCGCGCUCGACGGGGAUGGCAGACCUGGAGCGCAGGUUGCAACUUGCAGUGGUGGCAUACGUGGGUGGUGCCAGGCCACCGGUUUCCUGCGUCGACGCGGCGAUUGCCAUCUCCGAGCAACUUGAGAUCCCGCUGCACCGCUUCUCUGUGCCCAAGUUCCACCCUGAAGAUUUCUUGGUGGUCUUCGCGUCCCACGAUCUCCGCAACAAAGCUCUGGAAGUCCCAUUCAUCGAGCAUCCAAGGUUCAAGCUUUUCACCAAGCCAUGGUUGAGGCAGGCCCAAGCGCAGUCCAAGUUGAUGCGUGUUCAAGUUGAUCUCAUGAUUGAAGGAGUGCCGUCGCACGCCUGGUCCAGGGAGACGGCGUCGGAGCUGUUGGGCUCGUCCUGCCUAAUUGAGAGCCUGGCGCCUGAGACAGUUAACAGAGAAGAUCUUUCGCUCUUCAAGCUCAGAGCGUGAUCCCCGAGCUCGGAUGGAGGCGGCAGCCAGAGCGGUCUGCCGGAGAGCUUCAAUGGCUUCUUCAUGGGCGAGUGGACGGUGCUGCCUUGGUCGAGAGGAGUCCGCGAUGACCGCGGCACUAGCCGGCGCUCGCCGGGCCACGCCGGGGGUGGAGGCGCGACGGGGCCUCGCACAAUCGCUAUCCAGAGUGCCAUUGUACCGCGGCCGAGCCAGGUGGUGCCAGCUGGUGAGCUGGUCACACCUGCUCCGCCCAACAAUACAGCCAAGAAGGUCAAUCCCCAGGAGACAGAAACCAAUCGGGUGCUAGACACACCAUCCCAAACCGACAAGAUUGCAGAGGAAGACAGCAUCCCUGAUAAAGAGACCGUGGUGAUUGGACAGACUGAGUCGCCUUUGGUCAUGGUGCUGAUCGACAAUCCUAGGGAGGGGCCACUGCUGCAUGGAGAUGUGGAUGGGCCAAUGGCAUCUGAUUCACCUACACAAGACUCGCCGCUGGCAAUGAUUGCCUCGGAUCCGGUGGGGCCAAUAGCUGGCCCGCUUCUUGCAGCGGGUUGGGCACCAGCGGCAGAACUGCUUGCCCCCACUACCGCGGAGCCGACCGUGAUUCCAGCCUCGGAGACCGCCCUGGUAGGGCCAGUUCUGCAUGGCUCACCGGAUGUGACUACGCCGCAUGCGCACUGCGAGCACACGUUGCAUGCAGUUGACGCCCCUGUCCAGGUUCCGGCCGUUGAGCCUUCCGUCGAGUUAACACGGCUAUCUUCCAAGGAGGCGCUGGCUCUGGGUAACAUCAAAACGUUUUGUGCGGGACUGUUGAAGAAAUUGGCACCUCCGUUACUUAAGGAAAUCGAAGUGGCUAAUGGAGUUAGACCAGGGCAAGACCCUUUCACACCACGGUGCAACACCCGCUCGCUUAGCUCCACCUCUCGGAGCUCCAAAGCCUCGCCUGCCGAGACUGUUCUGCUCAAAGCCUUGGGAAUUGUACUGGACGAUCUGGAGAUCACUGAAGGAGCAUUGGCGCAGCUUUGUGAGAUGUUUGACUCGCCGCUCCAAGACAAGCACCUACGUACCAUCGUUGCCAUCUUCGGAAAAUUGUUUCCCAUGGAGCUAGGCAUGGAGAACCAUGUGGUCACUGCCAUCUAG